AAGGAUCAUUACAGGACUCGCAAGACUCCCGUAAACCACUGUGAACUUACCUACAACCCGUUGCCUCGGCGGGUGCUCCGGGCGCGUCUUCGGGCGCUCCGGGGCGCUCCAGCCCGCCGGCGGCCCCUAAACUCUGUCUCUGUAACGUUGGCAUCUCCGAGCAGACUAUAAACGAGUCAAAACUUUCAACAACGGAUCUCUUGGUUCUG
rnacentral:misc_RNA from 1 species